rnacentral:lncRNA from 10 species
GUUUCACAGGUUUCUCUCCCUUCUGAGCAACGGCAGGUGAGUCAGGGUCGCUUGUGCUCCCCUCCAGCUCUGGGAUGUAUGCUGUCCAGCUGGUUACGAGUCUCCAUGGCAUCCGAGGAAAAGUGGAGCUGGCUGAAGGGAGGUGGAAAAGAAGGGCAACAAAUUCCAGUUUCUUGUGAAACUUUGUAAACGUAAGGCUCUUAUCUCAGUCUGCAGAGCAGAAACAGGGUGAGGGCCAUGGAUCUGAAUGUCUCCACCUGUGCAUAAAACAUAUGAUUAGAGCUGAAGACCUAGAAGUCCCUUCCCCAGGCAGGGCAUGAACUCUUCUGUUUCUAGAACCAUUUAGGGAGGUGACAACUUGGCUUCGUCCCAGAGAUUCAGGAUGUCCGUCCAUCAUUCCAGGGUGUCCAUUUGACCACUGAGUAAGAGCCCAUCUCUGCCCUCUGGAGCUCCCACGUGAUCCAGGAAGAGAAGUAUAUGAACAAGCCACAAUGGUUUGAGGUUUACUGAGCAGACCAUAAAAGGAGGUGGAAGCUCCGUUCCAUGAAAGAACAGAUAAAGAGGAAUUAGGCUCAAAACACCUUCUUGUGUUGGUUUUUUCCCUUUCUCAACUAGAUUUUGGGUUCUUGGAGGAUAAAUGUUGUACCUUCUUUUGUCUCUCCUAUGACACUUAGCAUGUCUGGUAUCUUGGAGCAUACAGCAGGUGCUCAAUAGUUGCUUGUGCUUACUCAUUUGAAUGCCUACAGGGCCUGUAACAUGCCUUGCAGAUGUUAGGUAUUUGGUUUUUGUUAAAUAAAUGAAAUUGAUAUUCUCUCCUUUUGAUCCCAUUUCUUCAUUUUCCUCCUGUCUUCCAAGGAUUUGUAUAUAGGUGCUUAUUAAAAUGAAUCAUAAAGUGGUUGAUGACUUCAGAACAAAAUUUAACUACAUUAACAAUCAAGACAUUUCACCUGUAACAUCAGCUAAGAUGAAUAAAAAUGAGAUCACUUCCAACAUUAAUGAGGUUGCAGGCAAAUUGAACUUUCCUAAAUUGUUAAAGGGAGAAUAAUUGUUUGAGUGUUUUGGAGGGCAAUUUGACACUAUUUGUCAAUAGCCUUAAGAAAGUGCAUACCCAUCCUGGCUAACAUGGUGAAACCUCGUUUCUACUAAAAAUUCAAAAAAUUAGCCGGGCACGGUGGUGGGCGUCUGUAGUCCCAGCUACUUGGGUGGCUGAGGCAGGAGAAUGGUAUGAACCCGGGAGGCGGAGGUUGCAGUGAGCCGAGACCGCGCUACUGCACUCCAGCCUGGGCAACAGAGCGAGACUCCGUCUCAAAAUAAAAAAACAAAAAAAGAAAGUGCAUACCCUUUGAUCAGGAUGUUCAACGUUUUUAUCUUAAGGAUGAUUACUGCUGAGUGGAAAGAAUUAUGUGGAAGGAAGAUAAUCACAGCAUUGUCUAUGAUAGUGAAAAUUGAAAACAUCUUAAAUGCUAGCCAGUAAGGGAUUAUGUGAUUAAUACCUUGAACCACUUAUAAUAAUGUGUUAGAAAAGUAACUGAAAAAUGAGAACAUGUUAAAAAUAAGUAAAAAAAAAAAAAAGUCACAAGACAAUGUAGACCAUUCAGGAAGCUGGUAUGGUAGGAAUUCUGCUCUGUUCCUCACAGUUAUGUGGCCUCAGGCAGGUUGCUUGACUUUUUGUUGCACAGAAAUUUUCUUUUCAGUAAAUUGGAGACAUUGUGUCUCCCCUGCAGGUUGCUAUAAAGAUUGGUGAGAUGUUUGUAUAGCACUUGGUCCUGUGUCUGACAGGUAGUAGAUGUUCAGUUAGCAGUGAAUAUUAUUACCUGAUUUCUGUAAAAAAAAAAAAGCACCCUCAUAUUUAUAUUAGCACAGUAAAAGAAAGGUCACUGGAAAUUACAGCAAAUGUUAGCAGUGUUGUCUCUAACUGGUGACAUUGCAGUCAUUUUUAUUUCCUUCUUUGAGUUUUUCCCUUUUACUAAUGAACAUAGAUUAAUAUUACAACCAGAAAUUAAAUACUGUACUUAGAAAAGAAAAGGUGCUAGGCUUGUAUUAAAAAUGAAAGAAUUAAAGAGAUGAGUUACUGAUUCCUUUCUUUUAGAAUGAUAACCUUACCUGGGUUAUCAAAGAUAACCUUAUCUUAGGGAUGAUCUGUUUAACAUCAUUUUACUGUUGGGGAAACAGAAGCUCUGAGAAGGAAAGUGACUUGUCUAAAGUAAUAAAUCAAUUAAUAGCAGGUUUCACAUUCCUUGAACCAGUACUUUUUCAAUCUACUAGUCUCUCUUUGAGGACACGGGGCUCAAGAGAGGGGCUGCUUUAGUCCCGGAUAGGCCCCAAACCACUAGUGUCAUCAGUAGAAUGUCCCUUCCUGACUCUCCCAGGAAGCAACUUUUGCUUCUUUUCCCCUCCCAGGCAGUACAGUGCUAACCUAGGAGAAAAGGGUCAUGGGGACCUGCACACGUGUUCCUGGUCCUCUCUGUGAGUGGACCCCAAGGGGUGCUCCUCAGCAGGCCAGCGGCAUGUGCUAUUUGGACAUUCACCCUGUGUGGAUGACAGCAUUAUGCUUCCUUUUUCUCUUAUCAGCUUCAAUGUAUGCAUGUAUGUCAUGCUGCUUCUGAAUACUAAUUUUGUCUGGAUUGAUUCAUGUUCAGAGUGUUGGUGCUGCUGGCUGCUAGGCUUAGCAUGAGGUUCUUCCUGUGUUUUGUAAUUUUGGAUUUGCAGGCUCAUGUGGAAUGGGAGGCUUUUGGAUUUUUUCUUCUUUCUCUUCUGAUUGUUCAACUGCACCUGUCUAGAGGUUUUGCAGUUGCUUCCUCCUGUCCCUCUGAACCCCAGGUCUAGAAACGCCUCAUGAAGGUGGCUGGUGACAACAGAUACUGGAGACAGCACAGUGGGUGGCUUGUCUCAGUUCCUGGAAGGGAGGCUUUGUCCUUCCCCUCCCCGGGCCCAUGGCUCCCCAGGAAUUUGUAACCCCAGGUAGCACUGGGCAGCCGUCCUGGAGCUUCAGCCUUGCUCACUGCUUUGGGUUUAUCUUCCUUUUCUGAUCCAAAGAGAUAUUCAUACAUAUUUUUUUCAGCUCAACUAUAUCUUUUUUUUUUUUUUUAGAGACAAGUUCUCAUUCUGUCCCAAGGCUGGAGUGCAUUGGCACAAUCAUAGCUUACUGUAACCUUGAACUCUUGGGCUCAAGCGAUCCUCCCUCCUCAGCUUCCC